rnacentral:rRNA from 1 species
AUUUAUAUAAAGAGUCGAACCUGCCCAAUGAUAUUUUUAAAUGGCCGCGGUACUCUGACCGUGCAAAGGUAGCAUAAUCAUUUGCCUUAUAAUUGAAGGCUAGUAUGAAUGGUUUAACAAGAGUAGCACUGUCUCUACUAAAUUUUAUAGAAUUUGGUUUUUAGGUGAAGAAACCUAAAUAAAAUUGAAAGACAAGAAGACCCUAUCGAGCUUUAAAAAAUUUUUCUUAAAGAUUUUAGUUGGGGCGACUAAGGAACAAUAAAAGCUUCUUUUUUAUAUACAAACUUAUAUGUUUUGAUCCAAGGAAAAUGAUUAAUAGAAUUAGUUACCGUAGGGAUAACAGCAUAAUCUUUUUUAAGAGUUCUUAUCGAAAAAAAGGUUUGUGACCUCGAUGUUGGACUAGGAUAUCCUAAAGGUGUAGAAGCCUUUAAAGGUUGGUCUGUUCGACCACUAACA